ensembl:misc_RNA Metazoa_SRP Metazoan signal recognition particle RNA
GCCGGGCAUGGUGGCGCAUGCCUGUAAUCCCAGCUACUCAGGAGGCUGAGGCAGGAGAAUCUCUUGAACCCAGGAGAAAGAUGUUGCAGUGAGCCGAGAUUGCGCCACUGCACUCCAGCCUGGGUGACAGAGCGAGACUCCGUCUCAA